UUCGCCUGUCGUUUAUGAGGAGGAGCACCUCCGCAGGAGGUUCGAGCCUCGCGAAGCGAGACAACGUUGCUUUGGCAACGGCCCGCAGGGCGCGCAUCAACGAUGCGCGUAAUCCUCUCUCGCCGACCA
rnacentral:sRNA from 1 species